AUGAACGCUGGCGGCGUGCCUCAUCCAUGCCAGUCGAGCGAACAGAUAAGGAGCUUGCUCCUUUGACGUUAGCGGCGGACGGGUGAGUAACACGUGGGUAACCUACCUAUAAGACUGGAAUAACUCCGGGAAACCGGGGCUAAUGCCGGAUAACAUUUAGAACCGCAUGGUUCUAAGUGAAAGAUGGUUUUGCUAUCACUUAUAGAUGGACCCGCGCCGUAUUAGCUAGUUUGUAAGGUAACGGCUUACCAAGGCAACGAUACGUAGCCGACCUGAGAGGGUGAUCGGCCACACUGGAACUGAGACACGGUCCAGACUCCUACGGGAGGCAGCAGUAGGGAAUCUUCCGCAAUGGGCGAAAGCCUGACGGAGCAACGCCGCGUGAGUGAUGAAGGUCUUCGGAUCGUAAAACUCUGUUAUUAGGGAAGAACAAAUGUGUAAGUAACUGUGCACGUCUUGACGGUACCUAAUCAGAAAGCCACGGCUAACUACGUG
rnacentral:rRNA from 1 species